CAGACAGACAGACACACGCAUGCCAAAUUGCCAAUGUCGUCUCAUCGCCGCCUUCCUCCGCCUCUCUCUCCCCUCUCCUCUUCUCUCAUCUCCCAGCGGGAACCGCGGCCGGCCCCACGCGCGGGCAUGGGCAUGGGCAUGCAUGCCGUGCCCGCACGCAAGCACUCACCCACCCACUGCGGGCGCUCGUCGAUCGCCACUUUCGGCCCCGGCUAAAUCAGGAUAUAGACCAGUGAGGGAGCGACAAGAGGCGGAGGAAGAGGAGGUGGUGCCGGUGGUCGUGCUGCUGCUGCUGCUCGUGGUGGUGGCUGUGCAGGUGCGGAGAUCGUCGAUCGAUCGCUGCGGUUCGUCGGCGGCGGUGUCGAGAUGUCGAUGGACUUCGGUGCCCCGGCGGAUGACCCCAAGGCUUUCCGCAACAUCUGCCGCGACCGGAUACUGAAGGACCUGCUUAAGCCUGACAAGGAUAAGGAGACCAAAAGCUCAUGGAAGGUUCUUAUAAUGGACAAAUUCACGGUGAAGAUCAUGGCUUAUGCUUGUAAGAUGGCGGAAAUUACCGAUGCAGGGAUUUCGCUUGUAGAAGAUCUGUUCAAGAGAAGGGAGCCAAUGCCUUCAAUGGAUGCAAUCUACUUUCUUCAGCCACUGAAAGAAAAUGUCAUAAUGCUUCUAUCUGACAUGUCUGGGAGAUGCCCACUUUACAGGAAGGCAUACAUCUUCUUCAGCUCACCGAUUCCUAAAGACUUGGUUACUUACAUAAAGAAUGACAGUAGUGUAAUACCACGCAUCGGUGCACUAAGAGAGAUGAAUUUGGAAUUCUUCACUAUUGACAUGCAGGGCUUUGUAACUGACCAUGAUACUGCCCUGAUUGAUUUAUACGGUCCAAGUGAACAAAAUUCCAAAAAGUUCAACGAUACUAUAAGCACAAUGGCUACUCGCAUUGCGACUACAUUUGCAUCAUUGAAGGAAUUUCCAUGUGUGCGGUAUCGGGCGCCAAAAGGAGAUGCUUCCACAACAACUAAAUUCGAUAUGGUUCCAAAGUGGCUUGCUACUGCUGUUUGGGAAAUUGUGUCAAAAUAUAAAUCAACUAUUCCUGAAUUUCCCCAGAAGGAGACAUGUGAACUGCUAAUUGUCGACAGGCCCAUAGAUCAGAUAGCACCUGUUAUUCAUGAAUGGACCUAUGAUGCAAUGUGCCAUGAUCUACUCGAAAUGGAUGGCAACAAAUACAUUUAUGAGGUAUCAAAGAUGGGUUCGGAACCUGAAAAGAAGGAAUCUUUAUUAGAGGAUCAUGAUCCUCUUUGGCUUGAACUUCGCCAUGCUCACAUAGCUGAUGCUAGUGAGAGGUUGUACGAAAAGAUGAACAAUUUUGUUGCCAAGAAUAAAGCAGCACAACUUUCAAGAGAUGGUGGUGAAGUCUCAACACGGGAUCUGCAGAAAAUCGUUCAAGCAUUACCCCAAUACAGUGAUCAAGUUGAGAAAUUGACGCUACAUAUAGAGAUUGCUGGAAAAAUGAACAGGUGUAUCAGGGAGUAUGGGCUCCGUGAUAUUGGGCAAUUGGAGCAGGAUUUGGUUUUUGGAGAUGCGGGAGCGAAGGAAGUCAUCAGUAUCCUCAGGUCAAAGCAGGAUAUGAGCCCAGAAAACAAAAUGAGGUUGCUGAUUAUAUAUGCAAUUGUAUAUCCAGAGAAGUUUGAAGGUGACAAAGGGGAAAAGUUGAUGCAGUUAGCGAAGCUUCCACAUGAUGAUAUGGAUAUAAUAAAUUGUUUAGGAUACUUGGAUGGUUCAAAUACAAAAAAAUCAUCAAGGACGGGUACUUUCUCUCUCAAAUUUGAUGCCCAAAAGAAGAAAAAUGCUGCCAGAACAGACAAACAAGAUGGUGAGGAAACAUGGGCUUUAUCACGUUUUUUCCCACUUAUUGAGGAGCUGAUUGAGAAACUGAGCAAGGGUGAAUUACCUCUAAAAGAGUACCCAUCUAUGAGUGAACCAAGUUCUGCUUCUGCUUCUCAAGAUGCCACACAAACUGCAUCAUCAACUGCACGACCAGCACAAAAUCCACAACCGAUGUCUAUGAGAUCAAGGAGGACACCAACAUGGGCAAAAUCUCGUAAUUCGGAUGAUUCUUCAAGUGAUUCUUCAGUCCUGAGACACGCAUCAGGUGACUUCAAGAGGCUAGGCAACCGGAUUUUUGUCUUCAUGAUUGGUGGAGCCACUAGAUCUGAACUGCGCACGGUGCACAAGCUUACAAUGAAAAUGAAGCGCGAAAUCGUCUUGGGCUCUUCUAGCAUCGAUGAUCCUCCGCAGUUUAUUUCGAAGCUGAAGUCGAUAGGUAGUGCUACCAAGACCUAGCUUGUAUGCCGAGCGAUAAAAUGAAUUCUCACCUUAUAGUACUCAGUAUAAGCUUACACAUUAUACAUACUUCACCAAUGAACAGCUCUACAUUUUACUAGGAUGUUGUCGGCUGUCACCAGCGACCCAUUGAUUAUCGUCGAACUGAUCACAGUUAUUAUUCUCUUAAUUUUUUUUUAAUUGAGGAAGUGAGCUGGCUUGUCUGGAUGUAAAAUAAGAAAUACGUACACAACGUUUUGUUUGUUAUUUGAUGUUCUUGUUGACAAACAGAUAAAGAGAGAAGUCAUUAGGAGGUUUUGUAAAAAAGGCCUAAAAUUGAUGGUUAUAUGAUAUAGAAACUGUAUUGCACGGAUCUAUAACAGAAUAUGGAUAAAAUUGAUUAUGGAGGGACACAACUUCCUUUGCUUGCUCCCAA